CGGGUGAGUAACGCGUAUGCGACCUGCCCGUUGCAGGGGGAUAAUCGGGAGAAAUCCCGUCUAAUACCGCGUAACGCCGCGGGGCUGCAUGGCCCUGCGGCCAAAGGGAGCGAUUCCGGCAACGGAUGGGCAUGCGUGACAUUAGCUAGUUGGCGGGGCAACGGCCCACCAAGGCGACGAUCAGUAGCCGGCCUGAGAGGGCGGACGGCCACACUGGGACUGAGACACGGCCCAGACUCCUACGGGAGGCAGCAG
rnacentral:rRNA from 1 species